rnacentral:rRNA from 1 species
AAUGAACGCUGGCGGCAUGCCUAACACAUGCAAGUCGAACGACCACAUGGGGAGCUUUCCCCUCUGACGUUAGCAGCGGACGGGUGAGUAACACGUGGAUAACCUACCUAUAUGACUGGGAUAACAUCGGGAGACAGUUGCUCAUACCCGACAAUAUAUUGACCCGCGAAGUUAAAUAGUUAAAGACGCUUUUGCUGUCACUUAAAGCUGGAUCCGCGCCGCAUUAGCUAGUUGGUAAGGUAACGGCUUACCAAGGCAACGAUGCGUAGCCGACCUGAGAGGAUGAUCGGCCACACUGGAACUGAGACACGGUCCAGACUCCUACGGGAGGCAGCAGUAGGGAAUCUUCCGCAAUGGGCGAAAGCCUGACGGAGCAAUGCCGCGUGAGUGAUGAAGGUCUUCGGAUCGUAAAACUCUGUUAUUAGGGAAGAACAAAUGUGUAUGUAACUAUGCACGUCUUGACGGUACCUAAUGAGAAAGCCACGGCUAACUACGUG